UUCCGGGCUGGAGGUAGGUAGGAGAGAUCAGAAAUUCCUGGUGUAGCGGUGAAAUGCGCAGAUAUCAGGAGGAACACCGGUGGCGAAAGCGGAUCUCUGAGCCUUACCUGACGCUGAGGCGCGAAAGCUAGAGGAGCGAACAGGAUUAGAUACCCUGGUAGUCCUAGCCGUAAACGUUGGGUGCUAGGUGUGGGCGGACAUCGACCCCGUCCGUGCCGAAGCUAACGCAUUAAGCACCCCGCCUGGGGAGUACGGCCGCAAGGCUAAAACUCAAAGGAAUUGACGGGGGCCCGCACAAGCGGCGGAGCAUGCGGCUUAAUUCGAUGCGACGCGAAGAACCUUACCUGGGCUUGACAUGCAGGGCAAAGCCGGUGGAAGCCGGCGCUCUACGGAGCCUGCACAGGUGGUGCAUGGCUGUCGUCAGCUCGUGCCGUGAGGUGUUGCCUUAAGUGGCGCAACGAGCGCAACCCUUGUCCUUAGUUGCCAGCGGGUAAAGCCGGGAACUCUAGGGAGACUGCCGGUGCCAAACCGGAGGAAGGUGGGGAUGACGUCAAGUCAUCAUGCCCCUUAUGUCCAGGGCUGCACGCAUGCUACAAUGCGCGGUACAAAGGGCUGCGAUCCCGCAAGGGGGAGCGAAUCCCAAAAAGCCGCGCUCAGUUCGGAUCGGGGUCUGCAACCCGACCCCGUGAAGUCGGAGUCGCUAGUAAUCGCAGAUCAGCAAUGCUGCGGUGAAUACGUUCCCGGGCCUUGUACACACCGCCCGUA
rnacentral:rRNA from 1 species